rnacentral:ncRNA from 1 species
UUUAACAUUUCCCCGCCAUCACGCCCUGAAAAUAAGGUAUUGCUGAGUAAUGUAUUUCAUGGAUGAAAUACAAGGCGUAACUUCACCAAGGAUGGUGAAUAUACGCCGCUUACGUUCAAGCAAUAGUUUAUUUGAAGGAUAAAGCGUGAUGCUCGGGUGCGCUGAGA